rnacentral:rRNA from 1 species
UACGGGGGGGGCAAGCGUUGUUCGGAAUUACUGGGCGUAAAGAGCUCGUAGGCGGCUUGUCGCGUCGACUGUGAAAUCCCGCGGCUCAACUGCGGGUCUGCAGUCGAUACGGGCAGGCUAGAGUUCGGUAGGGGAGACUGGAAUUCCUGGGUGUAGCGGUGAAAUGCGUAGAUAUCCGAAGGAACAUCAGUGGCGAAAGCGGCUUCCUGGACCAGAACUGACGAUCAGGCACGAAAGCGUGGGGAGCAAACAGG